UUCCUCUCAGGGUCGCACCCGGAGAGUUUCCAGUACUCUACCAGUCUCGACUACAGGAGGAAGAAUCAAGCAGAGGCCUGUCAUGCCAUUUCUAGCUUGGGCAGUGGCUAGUCAGUGGAAGGCAAUCUGCUACAAGC